rnacentral:rRNA from 1 species
AGCCUGCGAAUCUCUAGCUGGUCUGAGAGGAUGACCAGCCACACUGGAACUGAGACACGGUUCCAGACUCCUACGGGAGGCAAGCAGUGGGGGAAUAUUGCGCAAUGGGGGGAACCCUGACGCAGCCAUGCCGCGUGAAUGAAGAAGGCCUUAGGGUUGUAAAGUUCUUUCGGUAUUGAGGAAGGUUGAUGUGUUAAUAGCACAUCAAAUUGACGUUAAAUACAGAAGAAGCACCGGCUAACUCCGUGCCAGCAGCCGCGGUAAUACGGAGGGUGCGAGCGUUAAUCGGAAUAACUGGGCGUAAAGGGCACGCAGGCGGUUAUUUAAGUGAGGUGUGAAAGCCCCGGGCUUAACCUGGGAAUUGCAUUUCAGACUGGGUAACUAGAGUACUUUAGGGAGGGGUAGAAUUCCACGUGUAGCGGUGAAAUGCGUAGAGAUGUGGAGGAAUACCGAAGGCGAAGGCAGCCCCUUGGGAAUGUACUGACGCUCAUGUGCGAAAGCGUGGGGAGCAAACAGGAUUAGAUACCCUGGUAGUCCACGCUGUAAACGCUGUCGAUUUGGGGGUUGGGGUUUAA